rnacentral:rRNA from 1 species
UUAACACAUGCAAGUCGAGCGGUAAGGCCCUUCGGGGUACACGAGCGGCGAACGGGUGAGUAACACGUGGGUGAUCUGCCCUGCACUUCGGGAUAAGCCUGGGAAACUGGGUCUAAUACCGGAUAUGACCAAAGGCUGCAUGGUUUUUGGUGGAAAGGUUUACUGGUGCAGGAUGGGCCCGCGGCCUAUCAGCUUGUUGGUGGGGUAAUGGCCUACCAAGGCGACGACGGGUAGCCGACCUGAGAGGGUGACCGGCCACACUGGGACUGAGACACGGCCCAGACUCCUACGGGAGGCAGCAGUGGGGAAUAUUGCACAAUGGGCGAAAGCCUGAUGCAGCGACGCCGCGUGAGGGAUGACGGCCUUCGGGUUGUAAACCUCUUUCAGCAGGGACGAAGCGAAAGUGACGGUACCUGCAGAAGAAGCACCGGCCAACUACGUGCCAGCAGCCACGGUAAUACGUAGGGUGCAAGCGUUGUCCGGAAUUACUGGGCGUAAAGAGCUCGUAGGCGGUUUGUCGCGUCGUCUGUGAAAACUCGAGGCUCAACCUCGAGCUUGCAGGCGAUACGGGCAGACUUGAGUACUGCAGGGGAGACUGGAAUUCCUGGUGUAGCGGUGAAAUGCGCAGAUGUCAGGAGGAACACCGGUGGCGAAGGCGGGUCUCUGGGCAGUAACUGACGCUGAGGAGCGAAAGCGU